rnacentral:lncRNA from 1 species
CUCCCAUUUAAGAUACCCCAUGUCACAAAAUCAUCUAGUAUCAUGCAGAAAAAAUGUCUAAAGAACCAAAACAGAUUCAAUGCAGUGACGGCAGAAAGUGUAUGGGCAUGAAGAUUCAAAGAAAAAGAUGCGGCCGUUGAAAGAUUUAUAUGCUCCUUUGCUCCAGGAGAAAUCUCUUGAGACCUCACUCAGAGUGCACAUCCUUACCACAGUACAAGGCUAAUGAGCUUGGAUCGAUGGUGUUCUCAGCCCAGUGGACUGAAAACAAUAGAUUGAAGAUUUGUGGCAACCCUGUGACUACCAACUCUAUUGAAACCAUUUCUCCAAUAGCAUGAGCUCACUUCAGGUCUUUGUAUCACAUUUUCAUAAUUCUCACAAUAUUUCAAAUUUAUUAUUAUUAUUA